rnacentral:lncRNA from 1 species
CCAGCGCUGGGCCAGUGCAGGCCGAGCCCUGCGUCCCUGCCUCGCUGGGUGGGGGUCCGGGGCGCGGCUGUCCACAGGGCCGCCUCCUCCUGCGGCCCGCGGGGAAGGGGCGCAUCCCACCCCGCUCUGCAGGCCGCCCUUCUGCCAGCUGGGAGGCGAGGGCACACGUCCUAAGGCUGCCCAAGGGGGAGAGGAAUCGCGCCGGUAGGAGAGCGCACGGGAACCAGGAACGCAAGGCGGGCACAGGGGAGCCGAAGGAGCCAGACAGGGCCCGGCCACGCGCCCUCCUCGCUCGGCUGCGCUCCGUGACGGGAACCCAGGCUCCCACGCACGGGGAAUGCCUAGAACGGAGCUAGAAUGGAGGCCCCUUUGUGUGACUAAAUUUGGCAAGAAUAUGGAUCUGAGCCAGUCUUUCCACGUGUGCUCCCAGCUCCCAGCUGAGAAGGCCAAGGGUUCUCUUCCGGGUAAGGAGACAGGGAGAAAGAUCAAAGAGUUUGGGGAGCUGGAUCUGAAAUGUGAAUUGAAAAUAAAAAUCAAGCCUGGACACAUUCCAGUUUCUAAAGCAAA